CUGGGAUUUGCCCAACAUAAUGAAUUGGAGGGGAGCGGUGGGGCACGAUUCAGUCCACUGCACACCGUUCUCCUCUCCAGACCUCUCACUGGCAAGUCCUUUCAUCUCAAUUUCAGUUCUGUGAGGCCGUCCUACUAUUGUCUAUCACCCUGUUUGAUUUUUUUGUAGCCUCAUCAUUUAUUCAUUACAGUUUCUUAAGUUCUUUUUUUUAGGGAGCUUGUCAUUGCCUAGAAGAGUGCUGGGCACACAAUAGGUAGGUAUUCAGUAGGCAUGCAUUGAAUUUUAAUUCUGACCUUUUGAAUCUGCCCUGUGUUAACUUCCUUGAGAGGGCUGUCCUGCUAAGGAACAAUGACCAGAUGAUGAGUGGCUGUGCCUAGGAUAGAGGGAGGGCAGCUGCACCGAGGGUCGGCUGUUUAACACUGACUCUGUAGGUGAAGGAGUAUUGAUACUGAAUAUACAACUAAAAUCAUGUAAUAUAGCACAUGAGAUUCUUAAUGCUAAAAUUAAGACUUUUUAACAUGAAAAAUGCUCUUAAGGGCAGAAAUGAAGCAAAUUUCAGGCAAGAUGGCAGACAAGACUGAAACGGAUUCAUCCAUCAACUGCUACAGACUUAAAAAACAAAAUAUGCCCAAUGCAAAGCUGAGCUCAGGAAAUCCUCAGAUGCUAGAGAUAAAGACAAAAUCCAGUUGCAGAAGUGAGUUCCAGGUGAUGCCAGGAGACCCCAGGAAGUAUCAGAUUAGGUCACAAAACUAGGAAUAAGGUUUUAAUGUCUUCAGAAAAACAGAGCAUUUGGUGAGAGAAGGGAACUAAUCCGAGACUCCCGCAUACAACCAGGACACUUGAAGGGCUGCCUCACCUGUGAAAAAGAAACUGGAAAAAUCUCUUCAAAUCUGUCUGUGGAAACAGAAAGACAGCCUGGUGUUUGACAAAGCUCUCGGUGGGACAAACCUCCUCUGAGAAAUGGAAACCUAGGAAAUCAAAAGCCCAGAAAUUAAGGGAAAGCAUUAGUCUCAGAUAAUGAAAAGGAAACCCUUGGGGCCCGGGCCAAAGCAAAUGUAAAAACAUGAACACUUGCAUAAUCUCGUACAUGGGACUCACAGAAAAUGCAACCCCUAAUAUAGAUGAGCUCGCAAUGAAAAAUUAUCCACCACUGUGGCAAUGCAGUCACCAAAAGGAAGACUCAACAGACCAAUGAGCAUAGACACGAGCUGUGGAGGUAACAACUGGAAACAGAAGAAUAAAAUCUCAAGAUAAAUAAUUUAAAAAUACUUAACAUGGAAAAAUAUUUCACUUAAAAAAUAUAACUUUUAGAAAAAAUAUAGUAUCAUUAACUUAAAAAUUCAGUAGCUAGGUUGAACAAUAAAUUCACCACAAAUGAAAAGAGAAUUAGAGAUCUGGAUCACGGAGCUGGAAGAUGAAUGCAGAGGCAGCACAGGGAGGUAAAGCAAUGGAAAAGAUCGCAGGGAGUCCCAAGACCCGGGAUGCUCCCUCGAGUCACUCACAGGAGCUCCAGAGGAAAGGACAGAUCAUGGGGAAAGGCAAUAUUUGAAGCAACAAUGACUGGGAAUUUUUCAUAAUUAAGAAAGAUGUAAAUAUUCAGAGGGAAAAUGCAGAUCUAGACACUUUUCAGAAACACUAUGAAACUCCAAAGUCAAGGAAAAGAUUAAAAGCAACUAGAAACAAAAGACAGUUUACAAUAAAAGAUCCAAAUUAGAUGGAAAUUACAUGUCUCAUUAAUAAAAUAGAGGUCAGAGAAAAGGGUAAAAAAUGUUCAACAUGCUCAAAGAACAAAAGUUAUUCAUCUACAAUACAACUUAGUAAAAUUAUCAUUCAAAAAUAAAGACAAAUCAAAUGUAUUUGACUAAGACUGAAGGGUAUUUUUUUAACCCCUGGAUCAUCAACUUUACCAAAGGAUAAAAUUUAUUAAAAAUAUGAUCAGCUUGUCGAAAGAAUGAAUCAAUGACACUCUGUCUUCGUGGAGAGCAGCCUGGGUGUGGAAUCAGGCACCCCCGGGUUCAAAGCCAUCACUGUGAUUGAAGAACAGAAGUCAUUCGUGAAGGACACAGCACACACAGCCCAGAGAGCUCGCAGGUUAAAACUGCACAUGGAGCAAUGUCUGCCAGCCAUUCAGGGUACUUCAAAAUAGGUCAGAAUACGUUUCCAGAAAGUGACACCUUCUUUUUGGGUUUGCGUAUAAUAAUAAAUCUAGGGGAUAAGAACAUAAAAGACUGGAAACUUCUUUUGUAUUACAAUAAUGUACUUCUAAAUGCAUUUUGGGUACAGACAAUUCCAUGUUUAUGCAAUGACUGUAGAUACAUAUAUAAGCUGAUUAAAUAAC
rnacentral:lncRNA from 1 species